UAGGGAAUCUUCCACAAUGGGCGCAAGCCUGAUGGAGCAACACCGCGUGAGUGAAGAAGGGUUUCGGCUCGUAAAACUCUGUUGUUGAAGAAGAACGUGCGUGAGAGUAACUGUUCACGCAGUGACGGUAUUCAACCAGAAAGUCACGGCUAACUACGUGCCAGCAGCCGCGGUAAUACGUAGGUGGCAAGCGUUAUCCGGAUUUAUUGGGCGUAAAGCGAGCGCAGGCGGUUACUUAAGUCUGAUGUGAAAGCCUUCGGCUUAACCGAAGAAGUGCAUCGGAAACUGGGUGACUUGAGUGCAGAAGAGGACAGUGGAACUCCAUGUGUAGCGGUGGAAUGCGUAGAUAUAUGGAAGAACACCAGUGGCGAAGGCGGCUGUCUGGUCUGCAACUGACGCUGAGGCUCGAAAGCAUGGGUAGCGAACAGG
rnacentral:rRNA from 1 species